rnacentral:rRNA from 1 species
UACGUAGGAGGCAAGCGUUGUCCGGAUUGACUGGGCGUAAAGCGCACGCAGGCGGCCGUGCACGUGGGGUGUGAAAGCUGGCGGCUUAACUGCCAGACGCCACCGCAUACGGCACGGCUCGAGCCCGGGAGAGGUCCACGGAAUUGCCGGUGUAGUGGUGAAAUGCGUAGAGAUCGGCAGGAACACCCAGGGGGAAACCAGUGGACUGGCACGGUGCUGACGCUCAGGUGCGAAAGCGUGGGGAGCGAACCGG